UGUUAUUAAAUAACAAAACUGUUUUAAGGCUGCAAUCACAACCAAAUUCAUGUAUAGUUGGUAAUAAUCGCGUUGUAUCAAUGUUUCUCAUAUCCGACACUAAUAAGUGCGAAUAUGUUUCAAAUCAACUUUUUUUUUAAAUUAUUUAUUUUUCCCCUUCGCGCUUGCCGUAGUUGCAAAGCAGAUUUCGCGGGCAGUUUGAGUUGGUGAUGGCGGCCACAACGUCCAUGUUGACUUCACUCGCUCUUUCUAAGCUGCCCAAGUCACGUCGGAGUUCAUUGACGGUAACUUUGUUGGCUUAAACAUCACAUUUAGGUUUAGGGUCUUCUAGGCGCGAUGCGAGACGUCACAAGCGGGCUAACGUUGAGCCAAACAGCAGCUUCGAGGCACGGGCGGAAAUGAGAAGGAGUUUGGCCCCCAGUCAGGUCGCCAAACGGAAGCAAGGGGAGGAUGAUCAUCGAGACGAAAUAUAUUAUAUUAACCACGAGCGGUUCUCGAGAGAAGAUGAAUGGAGAAAAUUGGGACAGUGAUGAAGAAGUCCAAGUUCCAUGGCCACUCAACAAAGCAGGAGGAAGGAAGCAGUCACAAACCAAAUACGUGGCAAGAAUUCUGAGAUUUGGUGAAGACACACGUGAACUGACGCCAUAUUUGAAAGCCGCUCAGGAUGGCAAGGAUGUACCCCUUACUGGUGAUUUGGAAUAUGGCAGAGGCAAGAGAAACAAACAGCCAAAGUCUUGGUCAUCAGACAGUGAGAGCAAGGAUGAAAGUGACGAGGAGACUCUGACAGACAGCAGGUAC